AGUGAACGCUGGCGGCGUGCUUAACACAUGCAAGUCGAACGGACGAAAUAAGCUUGCUUAUUUCGUUAGUGGCGCACGGGUGAGUAAUGUAUAGCUAACCUGCCCUUUAGUGGGGGACAACAGUUGGAAACGACUGCUAAUACCCCAUACUCCUUCUUAUCAUAAGGUAAGUCGGGAAAGAUUUAUUGCUAAAGGAUGGGGCUUUAUUGUAUCAGCUUGUUGGUGGGGUAAUGGCCUACCAAGGCGAUGACGCAUACCUGGUCUGAGAGGAUGAUCAGGCACACUGGAACUGAGACACGGUCCAGACUCCUACGGGAGGCAGCAGUGGGGAAUAUUGCACAAUGGGGGAAACCCUGAUGCAGCAACGCCGCGUGGAGGAUGACGCAUUUCGGUGUGUAAACUCCAUUUAUAAGGGAAGAUAAUGACGGUACCUUAUGAAUAAGCACCGGCUAACUCCGUGCCAGCAGCCGCGGUAA
rnacentral:rRNA from 1 species